CUUGUGUGUGAGUCUACAGCUCACCG
rnacentral:tRNA from 1 species